rnacentral:rRNA from 1 species
CCUACGGGUGGCAGCAGUGAGGAAUAUUGGUCAAUGGGCGCGAGCCUGAACCAGCCAAGUAGCGUGAAGGAUGACUGCCCUACGGGUUGUAAACUUCUUUUAUAAAGGAAUAAAGUGAGGCACGCGUGCCUUUUUGUGUGUACUUUAUGAAUAAGGAUCGGCUAACUCCGUGCCAGCAGCCGCGGUAAUACGGAGGAUCCGAGCGUUAUCCGGAUUUAUUGGGGUUAAAGGGAGCGUAGAUGGGUUGUUAAGUCAGUUGUGAAAGGCUGCGGCUCAACCGUAAAAUUGCAAUUGAUACUGGCAGUCUUGAGUAGAGUAGAGGUAGGCGGAAUGCGUGGUGUAGCGGUGAAAUGCUUAGAGAUCACGCAGAACUCCGAUUGCGAAGGCAGCUUACUAACCUGCCACUGACAUUGAUGCACGAAAGUGUGGGUAUCAAACAGGAUUAGAUACCCUUGUAGUC